rnacentral:rRNA from 1 species
GACGAACGCUGGCGGCGUGCUUAACACAUGCAAGUCGAACGGAAAGGCCCUGCUUGCAGGGUACUCGAGUGGCGAACGGGUGAGUAACACGUGGGUGAUCUGCCCUGCACUUCGGGAUAAGCCUGGGAAACUGGGUCUAAUACCGGAUAGGAGCCAUUUUUAGUGUGAUGGUUGGAAAGUUUUUUCGGUGUAGGAUGAGCUCGCGGCCUAUCAGCUUGUUGGUGGGGUAAUGGCCUACCAAGGCGGCGACGGGUAGCCGGCCUGAGAGGGUGGACGGCCACAUUGGGACUGGGAUACGGCCCAGACUCCGACGGGAGGCAGCAGUGGGGAAUAUUGCACAAUGGGCGCAAGCCUGAUGCAGCGACGCCGCGGGGGGGAUGACGGCCUUCGGGUUGUAAACUCCUUUCGCUAGGGACGAAGCUUUUUGUGACGGUACCUAGAUAAGAAGCACCGGCUAACUACGUG